rnacentral:rRNA from 1 species
UACGGAGGGGGCAAGCGUUGUUCGGAAUUACUGGGCGUAAAGCGCGCGUAGGCGGCGAUGCAAGUCAGAGGUGAAAUGCCCGGGCUCAACCUGGGAGGUGCCUUUGAUACUGUGUUGCUUGGAUCCAGGAGAGGUGAGCGGAAUUCCGAGUGUAGAGGUGAAAUUCGUAGAUAUUCGGAAGAACACCAGUGGCGAAGGCGGCCACUGCGUGACUAG